rnacentral:lncRNA from 1 species
CAGAACCUGGAGAUCAGGCACCUGAGGACAGAGAAAUGCAGAACUAAAAGAAGUCUUGAAAUGUUUCAUCACCAGUUAGUGCAAAUAAAUAGUGAUCAGAAGGCAGACAGAUGCACAGCAGCAAAAUGAUAUGCAGGCGCCUGCGGUUCCAGCCAUUGGCCUCUCAACCUAUGAAUGUGGAACAGACGAAGCUCCCCAGCACACAUGAAGUUUGCAUUUAGAGUCAGAGAAGAGUGCAUGGGAGAUCCCUGGAAACUGAAGGUAGAGAUGAAAAGGUACAAGAUGCCUUCCACUAGCCUCCAUCAGAGAUAUAGCAGCCCAGCUCCAACAAACCAACAAUCACCAUCCAAGCCUGGAGACACGUUCAGAACUUGACAUCAACCGUACUGCACUCCAGACAACAUCGCAAGCAGCUCCCACACAAAGUGUCUAUACAGAAACAGUCUUUAAAAAUACAAUUCCCUGAUCCCCUCUUCCUCGUGGUGCCAUCCCUGUUGCUUCCUAUGGGCGCUACGUCAGUUUCUUUAUUCUGCGGUUCUGCUUGUCGAUAUUCAGCGUCGCACGGUCGACGGAGGUAGUGAUGGAAUCAAGAGCUUCGUCCUGUCUCUCCAGUUCUGCUUCUGUCUCCAAGGCAAGGCUCUUCAA